rnacentral:rRNA from 1 species
CAUUUCUUACUGAAAUUAUUGUAAGUAACACCUGCUCAAUGAUAAUUCAAUAGCCGCGGAAUUUUAACCGUGCUAAGGUAGCAUAAUCAUUAGCCUCUUAAUUAGGGGCUCGCAUGAAGGGUGAAACAUUUCAGAUACUUUAUUUAUUAAUUUUUUUUAAGUUAAACUAAGAAUAAAAAUGUUCUUAUAAUUAAAAUAGACGAUAAGACCCUUUUGAACUUUACUUUAGUUUGGCUGGGGCAGCCAAAAAAUAAUUAUCUUUUUCUAAUUCUUUCAAUAAAUGACCCAAUAAAAUUGAGUAAUUGAACAACGUUACCAUAGGGAUAACAGCGUAAUAUCUUUUUUAAGCUCUUAUUUUAAAAGAAGUUUGCGACCUCGAUGUUGAAUUAGUGUAACUUAAUGGGUGCAGUAACUUUAAAAGUAGGUCUGUUCGACCUUUGAAUCACUACAUGAUCU